rnacentral:rRNA from 1 species
ACUCAAAGGAAUUGACGGGGGCCCGCACAAGCGGUGGAGCAUGUGGUUUAAUUCGACGCAACGCGAAGAACCUUACCCAGAUUUGACAUCCAAAGAACCUCUACGAAAGUAGGGGGUGCCUUCGGGAGCUUUGAGACAGGUGCUGCAUGGCUGUCGUCAGCUCGUGUCGUGAGAUGUUGGGUUAAGUCCCGCAACGAGCGCAACCCUCGUCCUUAGUUACCAUCAUUAAGUUGGGGACUCUAAGGAGACCGCCGGUGUUAAACCGGAGGAAGGUGGGGAUGACGUCAAGUCCUCAUGGCCUUUAUAUCUGGGGCGACACACGUGCUACAAUGGCCGGUACAAAGGGCUGCCAACCCGCGAGGGGGAGCUAAUCCCAAAAAACCGGUCUCAGUACGGAUUGAAGUCUGCAACUCGACUUCAUGAAGCUGGAAUCGCUAGUAAUCGCGCAUCAGCUCGGCGCGGUGAAUACGUUCCCGGGCCUUGUACACACCGCCCGU